CCCAAGACCCUGGGCCUGGCUCGGGCACAGCCUCCGACGUGUUCUGCAUACAGGGGCUCACAGGGCACCCACCCACGGACUCACACGCUCCGUCACACACAAAUCACCGAGGCACUGACCACAACAACACGUGCAAAGUGAGGGCCAGCUGUGGGCCCGCCGCAAGACCAGGUGCUGUGAGGUGGAAGGAAAGGCAACCUAAGAUGAGACGUCUGCCUUCAAGGAAGGGCUAACACACGAGAAAGGCGGAAGAAAACAAUCACCCUUAAUGGAGCGGCACUUACUAGCCGAGUAGUAAGAGUUCUGAGAACAAAGCGAUGCCAAGAACCGUACUGGGGGAAUAGAGACAAGUAACCAGACAACUGCAAAACCAUUCUAAGUACAAUGAUGGGGAUGUGGGGGCACCUACUCCAGUUACUGAACCAAACACCAACCCACCUCACUUUAGCCUGGAGGCUUCUUCCAGGUGUUUACUUAUUCUCUUUCAUGGUAACCACUGAGGAGCCCAGAGGAACAAUACAGAUGCAGAGGACCCCAAAGCCCUAGGGAAUGAAAGAGCCAUAAGAUGGAAUGAGCCUGGGCCUCUGAAUCACUCAUUGGAGGGCUGACCACCAAUCAGGAGCACCUAUGUUGGACUGAGUAAAAAAUAAACCUCUACUGUGUUAAGUUAUAAUUUGGAGUUUUAAUUGUUUCUUCAGUAAGUGUUACUCUAACUAAUACACACAUAUAGAAAAAUUACUGAAAGGUAAACUACCAAAUUUAAUCUGAUGCACUGUACGACAGAGUAUAAGGUAAAUUAUUUUCAAAAGUGUAUUCUUUCCACCACAAACAUGUCUUAUUUUAUAACCAAUAAAAAUAUUAAAAAAUAGGGGGCUUCCC